ACUCCGUCACACAUCACCUACGUCACAUCUGUGCGUCACUCAAGUGAGGCCCAGCUCGCGGUCAGUUCGCGGUGCGCGUUUGAUUUUUCGCGCUGGAUCGCGAAACAGUUCGCGUGUGAGAAGUCAAAAGUUUGGAAGUUUUCAGUUUGGAUCGCUUCGUGUGAGUCAGAGCGAAAACAUCUGGAGGAAGACAGACACAUCCGACUCAACAUCUGCAGGGGAUUGUUGUGGAGGCCUCAGCUGAGCGCACACCUGUUCUCCACACACGCGCACGGUUUCCACCUGGUGACUGACAAGACGUGGAGGAAAUGAAAGGUCGUUUCCGAACCGAGGCAGGAUGUGUCCAAACCUGAGAGUCCGAACAUGUGUCUGUCCCGGACAACACAUGUCUGCAGCCAGCUCCAGCUGUGCAUGCAUGUUGGUGCAUGUGAUUCCCUCGCUGUGAACCUGUUGGCGAUCACCACAAUUAUAAAGUGAGAUGGCAGAUACCACUACCAAGCAACACCUUCCAGAAUUUACUUCACCAGGUUCCUGCCAGGCUAAAAAAGUGCCAGGUCUUGGUGGUUGGUGGUUCCCUCUCUCCAGAUGGCCCACUCUGAUCAUUUAUUGAUGACAGGAGAACAGAGGAAGGCCUUCCCAGCUGCUGCUGCCUGGCACCCCGCUCAGUGUGUACACACAACCACACAUUAUUAAGCACAGACACACAUAUUCACACAAUGACACGCACACAUGCAUGCGACACUCUGUCCCACACAGAGACAUGCAGACAAUGUUGACCCUCUUUGUCCCCCUUUUUGCUGUGUCACACGUUUCUGAAUUGCUCUGUUCUACUGUUGAGCGCGCUGCACUUUUGCACCUUCUCCCUCCCUUCACCUCUCCUCCUUCCUGCCUCCAGUUCUUCUUUCA